UGGAGAGGAAGGCUACAUGCUGCUAGUUCCAGGUGAGAAUCAGCCAAAGUCUUGGAGCGUCUGGAGUUGCUGGGCACAAUGCAGGUUGGGGAACCUGGAGGCAGCAGAGAUCCCUGGACUGCAGCAAUGGGAGCCAUGGGUCCUUGAAAAUUGAGGGAGGAAUAAGGGCUACUGGAGCAAGCUUCACUAUCAUGGCUGUCACCCCACCAUCUCCUGGGACCCCAAGCCUUUGUUAUGCUCAUCCUGAGAGAAGUCCAGACCAGAGAGAGGGACCCAGAUGACACUGCUGCCUCUACUGACUAGAUCUGAAUCCCAAACACCACCCAGGAUUAAACAGGAUUGGACUUUAAUAACAGUAGCAGCUCCAGGUUGUUCUAGUCUCGGGGCCAAAUUGAUGGUGUUGGAGAGUGGAGUCUGCUGCUUGGGUACAACAUGGGCAGCUGCAAAGCAAGCUUACUCUGAACAGUCUGCUAGUGCAUCUCAAACCCUGCUCUGGAGGAACCAAAAUCCUAUUCUCAGGAGAUUUCAGCUCUAAUAUCGAACUACAAGGCGUCUGCAAGGUUUCCUGGACUCCUGGGAUGCAGAUGGAACUAAAGAUCCCAAAUAUCCGCGGGUGGUUCUUCAUUAACAGUUCCAUCACCUCUUCCAAGAACUACUUCAAAUGCUGUUUCCUACCCAGCCAUCUAAGAGUUCAAAAGGGAAGGAGCCAGUCUCUCCAUGAAAAAAGUGUAAAAGGAACUAAAGUUUUAAAUUGCAAUUAAAUCAACUGGUUAGCUUGAUAACCAAUUACUGUAAGGUGUGACUCUGGCAGUUUGGGAACCCAUUUAUUAUCAUUCACAUUUAAAUAGCACUUCUGUAAUGGUAAAGGUCUGUGCAAAUGUUAAUUAUCCUCCUGGUGAAGGAAGGUCACUAUUAGCAGCCCCAUUUCACAGAUGGGGAACUAAGGCAUGGGGAAGUGAAGUGACUUGCAAGUUUCCUUCCUGCUGAUGUAAGACUGGGUUAACAAUCCUAUAAAGAAUCAGAAUAUCUUAUAAACACAAGUUUUUUUUUUUUACAAUCAUUAAGCCACUGUUACAAGCCAUUGCCUCCAAUUUCAUACUGACAAAGUAGCAUCUGAACUGACAGUAUCACAGGUAAUUGGGUAAUAAGAUCCUAAUUUAAGAGUGCUUCAGAUCAUGGGAUUUGAUUGGGCUCAUCAUAGAAACAGGAGCUGUAAUGUAGCCAGCCUUCUGUACUAUAACUUCUGAGUCUGAAUCAUACCUCAGUGAAAGCCUGUGUGAUGAUUCAAGAAAAGAAAUGAAUCAAAAACUCAAAGUUUUGAACAUUUCAACCAAGUCUAGCGUUAGUGUAAGAGCUAGAGAUCCAGGGAGAACCACUGGGCCUGUCUGAGUCCAUAAACCUCAGUAAAGAAUCCCCAUUAUAUUCAUUAGAAACUAAUCCUGUCUCUUCUAUCAUGAGGGACACUACAGGGCCGAGUAGCGAAGUUCCCAGGAUUUUGAUUUGGGCCCCCACAGUAGUAUAUA